GUGACUGAGUGAGAUACGGUGGAACCAAGGACUCUAGGUUAACCCUGAAAGAGUUAACAAGUAUUGAGUGUUAACCGAGACCAAGGUACUCCCAUAUCUCACAGAAAGUCCGCUUUAAAGUGGCCGAGUGAGAUACGGUGGAACCAAGGACUCUAGGUUAACCCUGAAAGAGUUAACAAGUAUUGAGUGUUAGCCGAGACCAAGGUACCUCCGUAUCUCACAG